GCAUUAUAUUCCAUUAUAUUUUGUCACUUGCCACCUGAAUUUUGUGUUUUCCUUUACAUAAAUAAAAGACAUUUCCACCACAAAAGGAUGCAGAUGUGCACGGGACAUUUUCGCCACAGCUGGUUCAAUCCCAAAGGACAGAUGUUAUGUUAUUUUUUUCACAUAAUCAAGCCACUUAUGUGGAUGUAAAUCUUUCUCUUGCCACAUUUACCAUAUGAAAAUCAUAAAACAAUUGAUUGAUAAAACACUAUAGUAACACAUAUAACAACUCAACCCAAAAAUAAAUAUUAAAAAAUAUUCUACAGUCAGGGACACUAAGAAAAAUAUCAACUGCUUCAGAAAUAUUUAUUAAGAAAAGUAAAACAAGUUUAAUAUUUUGUGGCAAAGUUACAAGUUAAUUAAUGCAUACAUGGAUUUAAACUUAAGUCACUGAUACAGAUAUGAGUUCAUGAGGGAACAAAACUACUAUUAAAAAAAGCAUAUCUUUCACCAUAAAAAGUUAGACAAACUAAUUUAGAUAUCCUGACAUUCCUGGAUUAAGUAAACCAACUACUACCAUUUCAAGUUAUUCCAAAUCAAGUUUGCUGCAACUAAAAGACAUCAAACUUACCAGCUGACAGAUUAAAGUCCACAAAGACAAAGUGAGCUCCCUGUGCUUGAGGUGCUCUCUGUGCUACAGGUAAUGUGAGACUGGAGCAGGAGAAUCCAUGC